rnacentral:rRNA from 1 species
AGUGAACGCUGGCGGUAGGCCUAACACAUGCAAGUCGAACGGCAGCACAGUAAGAGCCUGCUCUUACGGGUGGCGAGUGGCGGACGGGUGAGGAAUACAUCGGAAUCUACUUUUUCGAGGGGGAUAACGUAGGGAAACUUACGCUAAUACCGCAUACGACCUACGGGUGAAAGCAGGGGAUCUUCGGACCUUGCGCGAUUGAAUGAGCCGAUGUCGGAUUAGCUAGUUGGCGGGGUAAAGGCCCACCAAGGCGACGAUCCGUAGCUGGUCUGAGAGGAUGAUCAGCCACACUGGAACUGAGACACGGUCCAGACUCCUACGGGAGGCAGCAGUGGGGAAUAUUGGACAAUGGGCGCAAGCCUGAUCCAGCCAUACCGCGUGGGUGAAGAAGGCCUUCGGGUUGUAAAGCCCUUUUGUUGGGAAAGAAAAGCAGCAGGUUAAUACCCCGCUGUUCUGACGGUACCCAAAGAAUAAGCACCGGCUAACUUCGUG